rnacentral:rRNA from 1 species
UACGUAGGGUGCGAGCGUUGUCCGGAAUUAUUGGGCGUAAAGAGCUUGUAGGCGGUUUGUCGCGUCUGCUGUGAAAAUCCGGGGCUCAACCCCGGACUUGCAGUGGGUACGGGCAGACUAGAGUGUGGUAGGGGAGACUGGAAUUCCUGGUGUAGCGGUGAAAUGCGCAGAUAUCAGGAGGAACACCGGUGGCGAAGGCGGGUCUCUGGGCCGUAACUGACGCUGAGGAGCGAAAGCAUGGGUAGCAAACAGG